rnacentral:rRNA from 1 species
ACCUACGGGGGGCAGCAGUGGGGAAUAUUGGACAAUGGGCGGAAGCCUGAUCCAGCAAUGCCGCGUGUGUGAAGAAGGCCUGAGGGUUGUAAAGCACUUUCAAUGGGAAGGAAAAAAGUCGGGUUAAUACCCCGAUUCUUGACAUUACCUAUAGAAGAAGCACCGGCUAACUCCGUGCCAGCAGCCGCGGUAAUACGGAGGGUGCAAGCGUUAAUCGGAAUUACUGGGCGUAAAGCGUGCGUAGGCGGUGAUUUAAGUCAGAUGUGAAAGCCCCGGGCUUAACCUGGGAACGGCAUUUGAUACUGGGUCACUUGAGUGUGGUAGAGGAGAGCGGAAUUUCCGGUGUAGCGGUGAAAUGCGUAGAUAUCGGAAGGAACACCAGUGGCGAAGGCGGCUCUCUGGACCAACACUGACGCUGAGGUACGAAAGCGUGGGUAGCAAACAGGAUUAGAUACCCUGGUAGU